AAUGUAUCGAGACUUAAGAAAUUUACCGAAGCGGCAAGUUUUAUUUAUAAUAAAACGGUAGCGGAACAUUCUGUAUGUUGAUAAAGAUAUGUUGUAAAAUAUAUUGAAGAUAUCAGAAAAGAAAAUGCUGGCAUUAGUAACAAAAAAUAAUGAAUAAGAAUCAUUAUCACCGUAAAUCCAAGGGUUUCUAUGUUAAAAUGUAUUUCAUAGAGUGAAACGGCCCCUAAGAAAGAUUUGACGAAAGCAAAUUUUGAUGGGAUAAUUUUUAAAUUAAAUUUUUUAAAAAAAGUGACAAAAAGUUUUACUUUUUCAGGAAAUAGCUUUUUUUAAAAAAAACCGUACCCUAAACCGACACAGGUGGAUAGGUCGAGUAGACUAAGGUGGAUGAGAGAAUUAUAUUGAAGGAACUCGGCAAAAUGACUCUGUAACUUCGGGAUAAAGAGUACCUAAAUAUUAUAUUUAGGUGUCACAAAAUAGGGGGUUGCGACUGUUUAAUAAAAACUUAGGACUCUGCUAAAUGGUAACAUGAUGUAUAGGGUCUGACACCUGCCCGGUGCUGGAAGAUUAAUAGGAGAUGUUUGCGCAUUGAAUGGAAGUCCCAGUAAACGGCGGCCGUAACUCUGACGGUCCUAAGGUAGCGAAAUUCCUUGUCGGGUAAGUUCCGACCUGCAUGAAUGGUGUAACGACAUCCCCGCUGUCUCCAAUAUAAACUCAGUGAAUUUGAAUUAUCCGUGAAGAUGCGGAUUCUCUAUAGUUAGACGGAAAGACCCCGUGAACCUUUACUACAUCUUUAUAUUGUUAUUUUAUCUAAUAUGUGUAGCAUAAGUGGGAAUCAAUAAGACCUUCUACGCUAGUGAAUUGUUUAGAUAACAUUGAAAUACCACUCUUAUUAAAAUAAAUAACUAAUAUUUUUAUAAAUAGACAGUGUAUGGUUGGUAGUUUGUACUGGGGCGGUCACCUCCUAAAGAGUAACGGAGGUGUACAAAGGUAAGCUCAAAUUGGAUUAUAUUAUCAAUUGUAGAGCGCAAUGGUAUAAGCUUGCUUGACUGUAAGAUAGACAUAUCAAACAGGGACGAAAGUCGGUCAUAGUGAUCCGAUAAUUCUUUGUGGAAAGAUUAUCGCUCAACGGAU
rnacentral:ncRNA from 1 species